rnacentral:lncRNA from 1 species
AGUCUAAAUCGAGGAGGGGAGGGUGUGUGUGUGUGGUUAAAGUUUAGCAAGUAUGGUGAACUUGCACAUGGAUAGAGUUUGAAGUCUAGUCCAGACAUUGAUAGGUAUUUGUGAGUGUAGGUCACCUAACAAAUGUACCUACUGUGGCCAUUGUGAAAUUUAUAUAUGUGUGUGCGCUAUCCAUGUGAUGGGGGGAUCCAUUUCACCUCUUCUU